GGUUAACGGAGCGAAAGCGACGUUCAACCGCAAAACAAGCAGAGGGGGCUUAGUGGUGGGGUGACUGCGUACCUUUUGUAUAAUGGGUCAGCGACUUAUAUUCUGUAGCAAGGUUAACCGUAUAGGGGAGCCGGAGGGAAACCGAGUCUUAAUUGGGCGUUAAGUUGCAGGGUAUAGACCCGAAACCCGGUGAUCUAGCCAUGGGCAGGUUGAAGGUUGGGUAACACUAACUGGAGGACCGAACCGACUAAUGUUGAAAAAUUAGCGGAUGACCUGUGGCUGGGGGUGAAAGGCCAAUCAAACCGGGAGAUAGCUGGUUCUCCCCGAAAGCUAUUUAGGUAGCGCCUCGUGAAUUCAUCUCCGGGGGUAGAGCACUGUUUCGGCUAGGGGGCCAUCCCGGCUUACCAACCCGAUGCAAACUGCGAAUACCGGAGAAUGUUAUCACGGGAGACACACGGCGGGUGCUAACGUCCGUCGUGAAGAGGGAAACAACCCAGACCGCCAGCUAAGGUCCCAAAGUCAUGGUUAAGUGGGAAACGAUGUGGGAAGGCCCAGACAGCCAGGAUGUUGGCUUAGAAGCAGCCAUCAUUUAAAGAAAGCGUAAUAGCUCACUGGUCGAGUCGGCCUGCGCGGAAGAUGUAACGGGGCUAAACCAUGCACCGAAGCUGCGGCAGCGAACGUAUCACUUAAAGCGAUUCAGCGGGUUACGAUUGACGGAGCGAAGCGACGUCAAAGCGUAUACAAAGUCGAGUCGGUUUAAGGAUACGUUCGUUGGGUAGGGGAGCGUUCUGUAAGCCUGUGAAGGUGGCCUGUGAGGGUUGCUGGAGGUAUCAGAAGUGCGAAUGCUGACAUAAGUAACGAUAAAGCGGGUGAAAAGCCCGCUCGCCGGAAGACCAAGGGUUCCUGUCCAACGUUAAUCGGGGCAGGGUGAGUCGACCCCUAAGGCGAGGCCGA
rnacentral:rRNA from 1 species